rnacentral:lncRNA from 12 species
AAUUAGGUCUAUGAGUUGUUUAUAAUGAGCCUUUUCAGAGGUGUAUUUUACAUGUCUUGCAGAAAUCCAGCACCAGUGCUUUAGCCUGACAAGAAAUAAACCUUUGACACUUCAGGACAUGGCUCUGAAGCAUCUAGUGCUGGGAGGAAACAUGGAACAUUUGAAGCCCCACUGACUGCAUACAAGAAGACAGCAGAGAAAAGAAGCAACCAUCAUAUGCCUUAAGAAAAUGCUGUCAUUAAACACAGCUAUGCUUUACUUUUGAAGAAGAUACAAGUCCCAAGAAAGACUGUAUGGGACUUGCAUGAAGCUAUGACAGAUUGCUGUGUAAGUGAUCUGAA